UACGUAGGGGGCAAGCGUUGUCCGGAUUUAUUGGGCGUAAAGAGCGUGUAGGCGGCCUGAAAGGUCAGCUGUGAAAACUCGAGGCUCAACCUCGAGACGUCGGUUGAAACCAUCUGGCUAGAGUCCGGAAGAGGAGUGUGGAAUUCCGGGUGUAGCGGUGGAAUGCGUAGAGAUCCGGAAGAACACCGGUGGCGAAGGCGGUCUGCUGGGCAGUUGCUGACACUGAGGCGCGACAGCGUGGGGAGCAAACAGGG
rnacentral:rRNA from 1 species